rnacentral:lncRNA from 1 species
UCUUCUCUCUUAUUACUCUCUUUUCUAUACAUGAGUUAUUUGGUGCUGUUAUAUCUGUUUAAUGCAUUUCUUCUUCUGUGAUGUAGUUUCUAGAAAUAUUGUGCUGUUGUUUAUUAUUAUGUUUUUCUUUCCAUAUGAAAUAUAGAUUAUAGAUACAGUAUGACAGUGGCCCUAAAAGUUCUACUAAAAUGUCAUUAUCAGUGGCUAGUAGUAGUUGGCACUGAUGCACUAGAAUAUGUGUCCUAACUUCUGUCCCCACAUGUAACACCAGCUGUGCGUUGAGAAAUAUUUAUCAAGUUGUUGGCUGGUGGGGUUGGUGCAUUUUGAACCACAAGUAGCCAACUCCAGUACUCCUAUAUGCCGUCCCACUCCCACCAUUGUGUAGCUAUCAAGAUCCAUGAUAUAACACCAGUGAUAUAUGUGCAAUGUGGCAAUCUAGUUGCUUACGUAAAGUGGGGAAUAUGCUUUCAUAUUAAUCUGUGUGCACAAUAAUCUUUUGAAAUACCAGUGGUUUUCCUUUUACCCCUUUUGAAUGUAUAUUAGCAUAAAUGCUGUUGUGAUUUCUGUUCUUAUCUACCUUAGCUUUUCGUUCUACCCCAAAAUGGUUUUGUACUAUAUUACGAGAUAGCUAGUCAUUUUGGCUUGUUGGAUUAAGCGGUGUAUGACUCUAGAGAAACAGUUAUAUUCAUCAGAGUGUUGCAGCAGGAUCAAUUUGGUGACAUAAUCGAAUUCUGAUAUCCUAAGUGAUCUAGCCCCAGAUGAUGACUUGUUAGCAUAAACAUUUACAUUCAUUCUUUAGAGUGUGCAGCAGGAUCUGUUCGAGGAUACAAUCGGUCUCUGAGAUUCUGUGUAACUAAAUUUCCCUAUCAGGAGUUUGGUCGAACAAGGGGGGACAUAGGAAUAUAUCUGGUGCUGGCAAAGGGGCCAGACCCAGAAGGGUCAAAUUGGUUUUACAAUGGACACUUGGAUAGUGGUGCAGUUACUAAGAGGGGGCUAAUAACGGCUUGGGGUAGAAUAAGUUCAUAGUUGAAACAGCAAAUGUAUACACAAAAGCCAUUUGCGUUUUCUCGAAAAAUGUAUACAUAUAUAUCAGAUAAACUCAGCAAUCAACCUGACUGGGCAAGACUUUAGCUGGGAUGUCAUUAGGAAUGCCCUCAACAAAUUAUUUAUUCUCGUAUCAACUUGUUUUUUUAUAGUACUCUUUUUGAUACUGUAGCACUGAGCUCUUGAAUUGCAUGAUGCAGCCAAGAAGGCUUAACUGCUCAAUCACCGAUUUUGGUGCAUUAUGCAUAUAUAUACUUGUGUUGUCUGCAUGCAUGGCGGGCUCUAUUAUUCCUGAUGAUGUAGUUCUGACUUACUACCUCUGUUCAUAAAUAAAAGACGUUUUGGCAGUAUAGAUUGAACUGUCAAAACGUCUUAGAUUUAGGAACGGAGGGAGUAGUAGUGUACUUCUGUCAUUCUGAGUACUGGUGCGGCAACAAUUCCUGGAUUUCAUCUGUUUGAUGCUAUCUUCUGAUUUUCCUGCUGUCAGGUUGAUGCAGUGGUGUACCUUGUGGACGCGUAUGACAAAGAGAGGUUUGCCGAAUCCAAGAAGGAGCUCGACGCCCUCCUCUCAGACGAUUCGCUGGCCACCGUCCCCUUCCUGAUCCUGGGCAACAAGAUCGACAUCCCCUAUGCCGCCUCAGAGGAAGAGCUCCGCUACCACAUGGGUCUUAGCAACUUCACGACUGGCAAGGGCAAGGUGAGCCUCAGCGAGUCCAAUGUCCGCCCCCUGGAGGUCUUCAUGUGCAGCAUCGUCCGCAAGAUGGGCUAUGGCGAAGGGUUCAAGUGGAUGUCGCAGUAUAUCAAGUAGGUCAGGCAGGGGGGAGUGGUGAAAGAAACAAAAGAGUUAUAACUAGUCAUGGUGAUAAUCCUGUUUUACCUUGUCACAAGAGUGUUAGGGAGCUAGCUGGUCAUGGUGCCAGUACAUAUGUGAUGUAAUGGAUGUAGUUCAAAGUCUGGGGACUCCGUCCUAGAUUUUUUUGGUUGAGUUAUUACAAUGUGAUGUCGAAAAGGUGAUAUGCUUUGGACUCCAUUGCUGGUGCUCCAUGGUAUUCUGAAUGAUGGUCAUAGCAGCCUCGUGCAUCCAGAUUUGCUGUUCUUUGUGUUUUUGCUAUUCUCUGAAGCUGGUGCUCCCCAGCAGCUGGUGCGCUGACACACCUUUCAUCAGUAUUCAGUCAAUUUGAGGGUUGUCAUCUAUUUUUUCGGCCCCUACAAAUGAACAGUUGCAGUUCAGUAGUAUCUAAUUUGCAGAUAUUCUGCUUGCGUUUUACUCGUGGUUGACUCGCCAGCAUCUUUGAAACUCUACCAUAUUCGAUGGUUUUAUUCUUGGACUUGCUCAUGAAUUCUAAUUCUGCUGAGAAUAAUUGCAAUAAACCAAUUUUGUCCCGUUUAAAAUCCAAAGUUGACCUUGCAACCAAAAGAAGGAAAUGCUAAAGAAUUUAAGCAUGGCAAAUCGGUUUUUUUAUGACAAAUUAUGUUGUCUCAAGGAUAAAAUGGGGGAAGGCGAUGGUCCUAGACUCUAUUCCCAUUGAGGUGUGGGGAGGUUUUGAAGACAUAGUGAUAGUAUGGCUAACUCAGUUUUUCAACAUUAUUUUUCGUCCAAAUAAGAUGCCCAAAGAAUGAAGGCGGAGUAUAUCAGUACCAUAAAAUUAAACUGAUGAGCCAUACAAAGAAGCUAUGAAAAAUAAACAUUGAGCACCGUUUAAGAAGAAUGACAAGCGUGCUCAGUUUGGUUUUAUGCCUAAUACAAUAACUUAUGAAAAGAUAGGAAAAGAAGAACUUCAUAUAACUUAUGAAAAGAUAGAGGAAAAGAAGAACUUCAAUAUGCAACUGGAGUAUCUGCUCUCGAGAUCAAAUUCUCCUAGAUGAACAAUAAAAUAAAAUAAACAGUAAAAAACAAAAAAGCCUGAUUUUUUUGGUAAACUUUAACAAAUGUUUUUUAUGCUUACAAAAUUCAGCACCAAAUGAUAUUUGUGGAAGUCGUGGCAAAAAAAAAUCAAUGUUUCAAAAAUGCUAGUUUUGAAAAUAUUUUGGAGUCCUGAUUUAUUUGCCACACCUUCCACGAAUGUCAUUCCAUUCUAAAAUUUUACAAUCAUACAAAACAUUUGUGAAAGUCGACCACAAAUUCUUUUAGAAUAUUUAGAAUUGUUUACUAUUUUUUCAACUUUACUAUUCAUCGGAGAGUAUUUGAGCUCGGGAUCAGAAUAAAACUUUAGUUUAAUAUGGUGUUAAUUGACCUAAAGAAGGCCCACAAUAUAAUACCACAAAAUGUCAUGUGGUAGGCCGUGGAGAAGCACACCCAACAUAACAGACUUGGCCAAAUCGGCCGGCCCGAUACGGCUCGACCUGGGUUAUACAAGCCCGACACGGCAUGGCUCGUCCAGACACAACAAGUACACAGGUCAUGCUGGGCCGGCACGCAUGCUACGCUCCGUGGCCCAGGCACGAGCCCUAUGUUAUACUGGCCGGCACGCCAACCCACGUAGAAUUUAGCCUAUUGGGAUGUUUUGGACCUAUAUUAAGCCUAUUGGGCUGUAUAAAAAUAAAACAAAUCGGUCGUGCCGUGCUGGCACUCGUGCCCAACCUCGUGUCCCAGGCACGGCCCUAGGCAGGCCACAUGCUGACAUAACCUGAUUAUAAAUGUGUCGGGCCAGGCCCACCAUGGGUUGGGUGACGGUGCCAUGGACGGGGGUGCUAGCCACGUCGGCCUGUUAGUCAUGGGCCGGGCCAACGACCUCGGACUGAAGAAUGGGCCAUAUUUACCAUGACCCCCGCCGUGCUCAGAUGGAAUAGUCUGAAGAUCUGUGCACACUUCAAGACAUGUUCAAAUCAUCGGCAAGCUUAUCCCUGGAUGUAACCGACCUAUAUGUAAUCCUAGGUACCCCCGGUUCCUAUAUAAGCAAAGGGGUUUAGCUCGUAGGGUUAAGUUACAUUCAUACACAUACGAUCUCGAGAUAGACCAUCAUAUAUCUUGUACCCCAUCACAAUCAAUACAACCAAAGCACGCGUGGGGUUUUACCUCUUCGAGAGGAUCUGAACCUGGGUAAACAUCGUGUCUCUUGUUCGUCCUGUUAUCAUCAAGCCAGGAUCACCAGUUCGGGACCCCUACCCGAGAUCUGACGGAUUUAACCUGGACACCGGGCACGUGAGCUAUCGGGCCACACACUAAGACUGUCCCAUUUGGCCAUGUUUGCAACAAAGUACAUUGCGCUCAUCAAAGACAUGUACGGUAAAUAUUGUGACAAGUGUUCGAACAAGUGAUGGCCACAUUGAUGACUUCUCAAUUAAAAUAGGACUACAUAAAGGGUCAGCUUUGAGCACGUAUCUUUUUUGCUUUGGUGAUGGAUGAGGUCAUAGGGGAUAUACAAGGAAAUAUCUCAUGUUGUAUGCUCUUUGCGGAUGGUGUGGUGCUAAUCGAUGAUAGUUGGAUGGGGGUUAAUAGAAUUGGAGCUAUGGAGACAGAUUUUAGAAUCGAAAUGUUUUACCUUAGUAGAAAUGAGACCGAGUACAUGAGGUGUGUUUUUAGUACUACUAGGCGCGACGAGAAGGAAGCUAGCUUUGAUGGGUAGGUGGUGCCUCAGAAGGACACCUUUCUGUAUCUAGGUCGAUGCUGCAGAAGGAUGGUGAUAUUGAUGAGGAUGUGACUCAUCGAACCAAAACAGAAUGGAUGAAGUGGCGCCAAGCUUCUUGCAUUUUUUGUGAUAAGAGAGUUCCACAAAAGCUAAAAAGCAGAUUCUAUAGGACGGUGUUUGACCUGCGAUGUUAUAUAGCGUUGAAUGUUGCCCAACUAAAUGGCGACAUGUCCAAUAGCUAGGUGUAGUAGAGAUGUGCAUGUUAAGAUGGAUAUGUGGCCACAGAAGAAAAGAUCGGUCCCAGAAUGAUGAUAUACGUGAGAGAGUUGAGUGGCGUCGAUUAGAGAAGCUUGUCCAACAUCGUCUAAGAUGGCUUGUGUUUCAAUGCAUGCCUCCAGAAACGCUAGUGUAUAAAUGGCGGUUAAGGCGCAUUGAUAACGUCAAGAGAGGUUGAGAUAGACUAACCUAACAACAAAGGAGUCUGUAAAGAGAUACAUGAAAAACUUUGUUGGUGUUGUUAUAUGUUAUCGCGAGGAUGACAAUUUUCUUUAGCAAGCACGACAUUCCUAGCAAAAAUUUAAAAAUGACAUGAAUUCCUCAUGCUUGUCCAACAUUGUCUAAGAUGGUUUGUGUUUCAAUGCAUGCCCCCAUAAACGCUAAUGCAUAAAUGGCGGUUAAGACGCAUUGAUAACUUCAAGAGAGGUUGAGAUAAACUAACCUAACAACAAAGGAGUCUGUAUGUUAUCACGAGGAUGACAAUUUUCUUUAGCAAGCACGACAUUCCUAGCAAAAAUUUGAAAAUGACAUGAAUUCGUCAUGCUUGCUAAAAGAAAAUACCAUACUCGUGACAACACAAUUUACUAUCUGAGCGUUGGAUUUGCCAUGCUCAUAAAACCGGCAUUCGAUUUGCAACGAAAUCCAAAAAAAAACAUAAACAAAUCAUAGACCCGGAUUUUAAACUUCACCUGCCCAAAUUUGAAAACUUGAAUUGAAGUUGAAUUUUCAUUCUUGAUGUGAUUUCAGAAUGGUUAGCUGAGAACUCUCCACUAAAACCCUGCAAACCUCUGAAUUUCUUCUUUUAAUAUACUCCUGCGCCGCGCCACUCUCCACUAAACACAAGACAGGAGAGACACCGCGCCACUCCCCCAAAACAUUUUGUCUGAAUUUCUUUGGCUUCCCAGUCGAAGCGGAUGGCGAUGGCAGGCAGGAGGCGCCCCGAUCUCCUCCUGCGCCGCCGCGCCAAUCUCUCAGCCCGUAGCCCGCUGAGAUCCAACCUUUCCACCGUGUCCGGCCGGAGACCGCCCGAACCCGCCGACCCGGCCCGCGCGGCGUCGAUCCUGGCCGAGAAGGACUGGUUCGCGCGGCUCAACUCGGAGUUCGCCGCCGCGCUGCCGCGCCUGGGCCCGCGCUUCGUGGUCCGCGUGCUGCACGCCGCCGUGCCCCUCGAGCCACGCCUCUGCGUCCGCCUCUACGUCUGGGCGUCGCGGUUCGGGACCCACUUCGCGCGGGACGCCUCGGUGCGGCGGGCCCUGGAGGACGCGCUGUGGCGGCGCGGGCCGCUCGUGCUGUCCGCGGCGCUGGUGGCGGAGGUCAGGGGCUGCGGGUGCGAGGUCUCCGAGGAGCUGCUCUGCUCCAUGAUCGCCAGCUGGGGCAGGCUGGGCCUCGCGCAGUACGCGCACGAGGUGUUCGUGCAAAUGCCGCGUCUCGGGCUGAGGCCCAGCACGGCGGUGUACAACGCCCUGAUCGCCGCGUCUGUGAGGGCUGGCGCCGUCGACACGGCAUACCUCAGGUUCCAGCAGAUGCCUGCGGAUGGGUGCCAGCCGGACUGCUUCACCUACAACACACUCGUUCACGGGGUCUGUCGUAGUGGGAUCGUCGAUGAGGCGCUCCGGCUGGUGAGGCAGAUGGAGGGCGUCGGGAUCAAGCCGAAUGUGUUCACUUACACGAUGCUGGUUGAUGGGUUCUGCAAUGCUGGCAGGCCAGAGGACGCACUUCAUGUGUUCAAUACGAUGAAGGAUAAGGGUGUAUCGCCGAAUGAGGCCUCGUACAGGACUUUGGUUCAUGGUGCGUUCCGGUGCUUGGGGAGCCACAAGGCGUAUGAGAUGCUUAGUGAGUGGAUAGGACGUCAGCCUCCACUGCACCCAAGUGCGUGGCAUACUAUGCUGUAUUGCUUAUCAAAGAACGAGAUGGCCAAAGAGGUAGUUGAGGUCGUGAAGAAGAUGAAAACUAGGGGUCUUCUCCUCGACAAUGCUAUGUUUGGCAUUGUGGUCUCUUGUGCUGUGAAGUGCCUGGAGUUGAGUGAUUUGUGUGAGUUGGUUGAUGAUUUCGUAAAGAAAGGCGGGAAUCCUGGAUUUCAUGUCUAUAUUAUGAUCAUCAAAUCCUUACUGGACUGCAAAAGUUCUUCAAAGGCAAACCACUAUUUAGAGCGCAUGGUUUUAGAUGGGCUCUUGUCUAGUGUGGCAUCUUAUAACAUGGUGAUAGAUUGCUUUGUCAAGGAAGGUGCAGUGGAUAGGGCAGUGGAGAUUAUAAAACAAAUGCGAGAGAAAGGUUUCCUUCCAAACCUUGUUACCUUUAAUAUACUGAUAAGUGGUUACUCAAAGUUAGGGGAUGUACAUAAUGCAAAGGCUGUUCUUAAGUUGCUUAUGGAAGAUGGUUUCAUGCCAGAUAUCAUUACUUUUACCUCCCUCAUUGACGGGCUAUGCCAUGCCCAUCAGAUGGAUGAUGCGUUUGAUUGCUUCAGUGAGAUGGCAGAGUGGGGUGUUAGACCAAAUGCUCAUACUUACAAUGUACUAAUGCGCGCGCUUUGUUCAGUCGGGCACGUUAACAAGGCCAUUGAUCUUCUUAAUAAAAUGAAAAUAGAUGGCAUUACUCCCGAUGCAUAUUCCUUCAAUGCUCCCAUUUUGAGUUUUUGCAGAAUGAAGAAAGUAGAUAAAGCUCGUAGUAUUUUUAAUGCCAUGCUAAGAUUAGGUGUUGUUCCAGACGGUUACACAUGCAACAUCCUGAUUAAAGCUCUUUGUGAUGAAAAGAGAGUUGAUGAUGCCAAAGAAAUUCUAGCUGCAACUGAGUCUAGUGGCUGUACUGUGACCGAUCAUCAUCACUCAUACUGGCCAAUUGUUUCUGCACUUACUAAAAUGGGUCGAUUCAGUGAGGCAGGACAGUUGAUGAACAAAUGUCACAUCAGAAAUGUUCAGUUGGAUUGUGGUUCUAAUCGUACCACAGAGCCUGCAAUGCAUGCCCGAGUUGUCAAUGUGUGAGUUGUGAUUUGGUAUCUACAUGCUAUUUGGCACAUGAAUGAUUGCCCUCCUCCUGCAAUGAAGGCUCACAACUGGCUCAUCUUUGCUAAGGUGCAGUAGACCAACACCACUGUCCAUAACCGCUCCUUGCAAUCUGUUUUGAUGAUAUUUCAUUUGUCCUGCUCAUUUUCUUAUCGAGUAAAGUAUAACUGUUAAAUCUUAUUUCCAGAUGAAUCACCUGGAACUUCUCAGCGCCCAUUGCUUUGUAGUGCAUUUCAGGAAUGAUAUGGAUUUGCACAUUUCUGUCUGAAAAUCUUUGCAGAAGAAGUCAGUAUGUUUCUUCUAGCUCUUUGCAUGUUUCGGUGAAUUCUCUACUUAAAGGGAUGAACUUCAUGCAAAAUAUUAUAGCUGCUUUUAAUUUGCGAAUACUGGAGAGGAAAGACCGCAAGCUAACAUAAAGUGAAUUUCAUGUACUUCUAGGACUAGUUUCAUUUUAUUUUGGGUUGUAUAUGAAAAUUGAAUUAAAGAGGAUUAGGAAAUUUAGUUUGAAACAAAGGGUAUUCAGAAAUUUCUAGUAGUCCUCAGUAAACAUGUAACAUCGGGUGCAACAUUCCUAUAAUUCUAUGUACUUUUAGAGUCUUAAAGCUGCUCACACACAAAUCUGGCCGUGGAGACUGUGAUGCUUUCUGUAAUUAGGAUGGCAGAAGUAUCCCAAGAAGAGCAGUCCGUAGCUUCAUAUUAUGUGUGUUGCUAAAAGUUAUUUGUGCCUUGGCAUAUUAAGCAGCGACCUUGGAGUGGUAAUAAAAAAUGCAACACAGCAAUUGUCUCAACUUCUCAUUGAAGAUGAAGACUUGUUAAGAAUUUCUCAUUUAUCUCCUUUUUUUUUGCAGGGCUGCUGAUUUCCAAAAGGAUUCUUAUGCUUGUGUGCAAAUGCUGUUCUCCUGGAAAACAAACAUUUCACAUCAUGCAAACUCGAUUCUGCGGAGGAUGAUUGCUUCCAAAUCCUCCUUGAGUUUCUGGUGUUUCAGACUGCACCCCAACAGCGCUCCAUGGUGACUGUGUCUACCGGUCAUGGGGGAGUUUGUUAUGUGAAUUCUCAUCGCUGCUCAACUUCUGUUCAACCUUACGGGGGCUAGCUUCUCUUCUUAUUCAUGACCUGUUCAUGGUGAGGAGGUGCGUUAUUCUGGUCUUGAGGCUACUUAGAGCGUUGAACUGACACCUGGAGAUGAAUAACGCCGAUUCACAUGUGCGGCCUCCUGCACCCAGUUGUUACAGCUGUAUAUACACCAAUUGUUGCAGUUGUAUAUACAGUUGCAAUUUAGAAUUGAUUCUAGAAACUACACUCGUUACUUCAGACCAGGAUGCAUAUAUAAAGCUUAAUUGGUCAGACGUCUCCUAUCAUGUGUGAUCUCCUGAACCACAUUACUUCACAUGCAGGAUCCUCCAUGUUGUUACAACGGUUUAGUAUACAUUUUUUUUAAUUUCAUGGGAUUCUUUGUUUGGACCUGAACCUGUUCUUUAUUUAUCUUUUAGAGAAACGAGGAAUCUUGAAUAAACCAAUCAUGUGCAUGAUUCUGUUAUUACAGAAACCAAAGGUGGCAUAAGCAUAUACAUAUAAUUGGUUUCUUUAACACUUCGAUCGUAAACCAGUGCCUACUAGAUUUUGUUUCAGAAGAAAAUAAUUCACAAAGAAUGAUACGUACUAUACAUAAGACCUGGCUGUGGUCACUAACUGUCCCCAGCAAUAUUUAGAGAAGUGGAUCUUUUGUGGAUGUGGUCACCAACUGUCCCCAGGUGGUUGAAGGCUUGAGGUGGAGGAUAAUGAUGAUAGUGGACUGCAAUCUGAUGCGGCAUGUAUGCCCCAAUCUCCUAGCAGUUCUUCUGAGAAGUGGUGAUUCCCGCUCUACCUUUAUUCCCUGAAGAGAUGUGUGCAGAAUAACAUGGAGAACGUGGGAACUAGAGCUGCUGCAUUGACAAGAAAGAGGAACCUGGAUGGUACUCCUAUUAACCCUAAAUCCAAUUAUUUUGAUGCCUUAUCCAAUAAACAAUUGAUGCUUAGGGCUGCUAAGUUGGUUGUGAUUAUUCCUGAUGAUGAUUUUGCUUGUGUGGAAAUUAUUAUGGAACUUGAGAAAACCAGGAUGAAUAAUGAUAUUGAUAUUCCUGUUGCUGUUGAUGCUAAUGUUAAUAGUACUUUAUAGUUUAUAUAUAACUAAUCAGAAAGGGGUGGACACCCCCAUUGAGAUAGACCAGAGGCUUAUUGCCUCUAUUAAUGAGGAUUCUUUUUCAGUUGUUAUGUCCAAGAAGAAAGUAAUGUGGUUGUGUCUAGACCCGUGACCAGUACUCCAACCCUUAAUAAUGCUGCUAGUUCUGCCCAUCCUCUGCCUACCAGGGUGGGAAACCCUCAUAGAGAUAAAAUGAAUGUGAUUAUAGAAUUGAAAGAAGGGAGGUGGGGGACCGGCUUCCUGCCUCUCUUGUUUAAUAGAAGGUCAUUCCCUUGAUUUCCUUGUGCUUAAGGAAACUAUGAAAAAGAAAUCUUCUGCUGGUUUCUUUAGAAAAUUGGAUCCUUAUGUUAUUUUGUUGGAAGUGAUUCCUUCUGUGGGAAAAGCUGGAGGGAUUUUAUGUGGUGUGAAAAAGAGAGGUUGGAGAUUAUCUCCAGUGAGCAUGGCAUAUACUAUCAUGCAAUUACUUCUAUGGGAUGUGGUGAAAGAAAAACUAAGUGGGGCCUAUUGUUUGUCUAUGGGGCGCACAUGAGGAAUUCAAAGAUGAGCUCCUGGUGGAGCUAGCUGCCUGCUAUUUUACACAUUGUGGGGAGAAAAACAAGAAGCUUCAACGUCCCCGUGCUAUGGAUAUCUUUAAUUUGAUUAUCCAUACUAUUGGGCUGAGAGAGAUUCACAUAAAUGGCGGCAAUACACUUGGACCAGCAAACAUAAACAUCCCACCAUAGAGUAUCUCUUACCGAACCCCUAAUAAGCGUUAGAGAAGUGAAAUUUUGGUUUUACUCCUCCAAACAACACUUCACCGAUCAACUAAAACCGUUAGAGGAGGAUAAUUUUUAAUCUGGGCCUACCCCGACCCUUAAAUACACUCGGCCGCCCACUGUUGGAGUAAAAAUCUCACAUCUCUCCCCCAUCGCCCGACCUUAUCCGUUCCGCUGCCGCCCAAGCUCCCUGCAUCCCCGCCGGCGCACCGCUGUAUCCACUCCGCCGCCCUGCCCCCGCCGCCCAAAAUGGCCGGAUCCAACCACCGUUAUUCAUCGCCGACACGCAGCUGUAUCCACUCCGCCGCCGCCCCGCCGCCCAAAAUGGCCGGAUCCAACCGCCGUUAUUCCCCGAUGUCGAUCAGAAGCGCCGCUCCAUGCUCCCCAACCUAUGGCCCCGGCGGCACCUCCUCCUGUGGUGGCGCGUCCCGGUUCCCUGACCUGCCAUCGCCGUCGGCGCCACGGAGGGGGUACCUCGGCGUGCGGCAAUGUGCUUGGGGGACGUGCGUGGCGGAAAUCACCAACCGUGAAACCCACUGGAUCAGUUCCUAUCACUCAGCGGUGCAGGCAUCGCGGGCGUAUGGCAUCAUGUUCGCGUGCCUCCUCGGCGCAAACGCCCGACCCAUCUAAACUUCCCGGAUGGCUUGUCAGCUUUGGCCCCCGUCAUCUCCGUGUGGCGUCCGCACACGAGCCGCGGGAAAAUUUGGAGGCCCGUGAGUGCCUCGAGGCGGAGUGCACCGACGAGGAAUACAUGGCGGAGCUCCGCCGCGUGUACCUGGAGCGCAUCGAAAAAGAGUGCCGGCAAUACAAGCUCUAUAGGUCGGGGCGACGACGAUGGUCAUCAACCUUUUUUUAGGAAAGGCCAUCAUGGCUAGCUUUAUUAAAACUUAAAUAAUGUUUACAUCGUCUACGAGCUAUUGUCAAGGGGCUCGUCCAACCAACUAAAUGAAGUCUUAUUACAGUAACUAAAAUGAGCUAGCAUAUGAGCCACUUGAUUACAAGAUCUAUAACAAUGCUUAUAAACGACCUUCCCUAUUGAAGUACUAGUGUCCAAACAUUCUGCGAAUAUUGCCGCCGCCGAGUCCCACCAUAUGGUUUGUCCAUCACAAUAAUUGAGUACUUGCAAAGAAUUUGAUUCAGCUUCUACCUGGUUACACCCAAAGGAGUUAGCAAAAAUCAGUCCGUCUCGCAUGGCUAACGCUUCUGUUGUUAUUGCAUCCACCGCAACAGGUAUAAACUUGCAUUGGGCUCCCAAGAAAUUACCUUUGUCAUCACGCAGGAUAGCCGCCGUAGCACCUACCCCUUCGUCCGAGUAGUACGCCGCAUCAACAUUUAACUUAAUGAACCGAGGGUCCGGCUUACACCACUUUGCUUCAGGGGAAAUUCUCACCAGCGAUGUAGCCCUCUGAUGGUUGCUUGAGAUUGAUAACACAGAGAGUGCCCACCUCCAAGGGGGAGGAAUUGAUUCAUUGUGCGUCACUUUUUUACGGAUCCACCAAAGGUACCAGCCCCCAACGGCUAUUACUUGUUUGAAGUUAAUUAUUGGGUGCAUCUCAAGCUGCUGGUCCGGCAAUGAUAAGAUAAAUUCCAAGAUCGCAGACCCCGAUCUAUCAACCUGGAUCGCUUGGUCGAUGAUAUUUGUGAUGUCCAGCUUCGUCCACAAGUGUCGUGCAUUUGAGCAUAAAAACAUUAAGUGACGGAUAUCCUCGGCCCCUUGAUGACAGAUAGGACAAGCACCAUUGGAACCAAUGUGCCUGUUAGUAAGUAUAGCUUUUAGUGGGAUAACUCCUCGCAGUGCUCGCCAACAAAAAAUCUGUACUUUACGUGGAAUCUGAAGUUUCCAGAGAGUAUUCCACACUGCCCGAGUGGUAGAGCCACCAGGGUGUCCCAUCGUAUUUGCAUGCGCCCGAAAACUAUGCAUCCACUGCAUAUGAUAUGCACUCUUUACUGAGAAAAUACCUGUCCUGUUCGGGUGCCAUGCCACAAAGUCAUCAAAACCAUGCAAGUGUAGUGGAAUCUGAAUAAUUCUGCGGGCAUCCACUGGACUGAAUAAACUUAUUAUUAGCGCCUCAUCCCACGUACCAUUAGCCAUAUCUAUUAAUUCACAAACUUUGGUUAGGACCGUUUGACCCCUCGGUGAUAUCACCAUUCUAUCCGGACUAGAGGGAAUCCACGGAUCCGUCCAUAUGUUAACAUGUUCACCAGUCCCAAUCCUCCAAAUGUAUCCUUUCUUGAAAGUUUCCAACCCCUUCAAAAUACUCUGCCAUGUGAAGGACGAUCCAUUUUUUGGUGUAGCAUCAAUAAGGGAACCAUUUGGGUAAUAUUUUGCCUUGAGAACUCUCGCAACCAAAGAAUGCGGGUCAUUGAUCAACCUCCAACAUUGCUUGGACAACAUUGCCAAGUUAAAAGAGUAGAGGUCACGGAACUGUAACGCCCACGAUGCGGCUAUAUCUCCCACGUGUCGAGGCACGACUUAGAGGCAUAACCGCAUAGUGGUUUUGUCGCAAGAAGGGUCAUCUUCACACAAUCCCAUGUAAUGAACAAGAAUGGGAUAAAGAGUUGGCUUACAAUCGCCACUUCACACAAUACAUAAAUAUCAUUCAUACAUCAUCCAAAAUACAAUCAUAUAGACCGAGUACGGUCAAAAUCCAGAUGAAAAUAAGACAACCCCAAAUGCUAGAUCCCCGAUCGUCCCAACUGGGCUCCACUACUGAUCAUCAGGAAAAGACACAUAAUAACGACCACGUUCCUCGUCGAACUCCCACUUGAGAUCGACGCCAUCGUCUGCACUGGCAUCGUCGGCACCUGCAACUGGUGUUGGAAGUAUCUGUGAGUCACGGGGACUCAGCAAUCUCACACCCGCGAGAUCAAGACUAUUUAAGCUUGUAGGAAAAGGUGGUGCAAAGAGGUGGAGCUGCAGCGACAAAAGCAUAUAUGGUGGCUAACUUGCGCAAAUGAGAGCGAGAAGAGAAGCAAUGGAGCGGACGUCAUCUAGCAAUGACCAAGAAGAGGUCCUGAACACCUACUUACGUCAUACAUAACACAGACCGUGUUCACUUCCCGGGACUCCGCCGAGAAGAGACCAUCACGGCUACACACGCACUUGGUGUAUUUUAAAUUGGGUCAAGUGACAAGUUAUCUACAACCGGACAUUAACAGAUUCCCAUCUGCCACAUAACCGCGGGCACGGCUUUCGAAAGUUAAUACCCUGCAGGGGUGUCCCAACUUAGCCCAUCAUAAGCUCUCACGGUCAACGAAGGAUAAACCUUCUCCCGGAAAGACCCGAUCAGUCUCGGAAUCCCGGUUUACAAGACAUCUCGACAAUGGUAAAACAAGACCAGCAAAGCCUCCCGAAUGUGCCGACAAAUCCCGAUAGGAGCUGCACAUAUCUCGUUCUCAGGGCACACCGGAUUGUCCAAGCUUCCGAUAGGCCAGACCAGAGUUGCCCCUGGUGGCCACCGGCGACUGACAGUUUGGACCAAUACUCAGAGGAGCACUGGCCCGGGGGUUUAAAAUAAAGAUGACCCUCGGGCUCUAGAAAACCCGGGGGAAAAAGGUAUAGGUCGCAAAUGGUAAAACCAAGGUUGGGCCUUGCUGGAGGAGUUUUAUUCAAGGCGAACUGUCAAGGGGGUCCCAUAAAUCACCCGACCGUGUAAGGAACGCAAACUCAAGGAACAUAAUCCCGGUAUAACAGUAACUAGGGCGGCAAGAGUGGAACAAAACACCAGGCAUAAGGCCGAGCCUUCCACCCUUUACCAAAUAUAUAGAUGCAUUAAUUAAAUAAUAGAUAUUGUGAUAUCCCAACAUAUCCAUGUUCCGACAUAGAACAAACUUCAACUUCACCUGCAAUUAGCAACGCUAUAAGAGGGGCUGAGCAAAAGCGGUAACAUAGCCAAACAACGGUUUGCUAGGAAAAGAUGGUUAGGGGCUGACAUGGCUGAAAUAGGAGACAUGAUAUAGCAAGUGAUAGGUAGCGAGCAUGGCAAUAGAGCGAACAACUAGCAUAGCAAAGAUAGAAGUGAUUUCGAGGGGUGGUCAUCUUGCCUGCAAGAUUCUCAGAGUUGUCGAAAGCUUGAUCCUCGUAAGCGUACUCGACAGGUUCCUCGUUCACGAACUCGUCUCCCGGAUCUACCCAAGACAAGAACACAAACAAACGGAACCACAAUCAACAACGAGAAAUGCACAAGCAACAUGAUGCAAGACAUGUAUGAUAUGCAAGAUAUGGUAUGCGAUGCGUAUGCGUGCUCCGGAAGGAAAAUGAUGAACAUGGCAGUAACUUGGCAAACCAAGCAUGCCACUGGAAAGAUGAGAUGAUUUCGGUCGAAAUCGAUAUAAAGAUCACCGGAAUCGGAUGCACGGUUUGCAAAUGGCGAGCAAAACAAGAAUGACACUAAUCUGCGAUUAACAGCAAGAUAGCACUUAAAAUACAACAAGUAACAAUGCUACAGCACCCCAACAUAGCAACAAAGCACAUGGCAGUAAUCUACAGGAGAUGCUUGACAAAAGAUGAACACUGAGCUACUGCUAGUUCAUAACAUAUCAAGCUCAAACAAGCAUGGCAAAAGUGUAAAAGAUUACAGGUUCACAGACUUGGUGGAAAACUGGACAUGGCAGAAAACAGCAUCAGGUAGCAAUGUUCAGAGCACGAAAUCAACAUGCUACAGGAACUUAACAUAGCAAAACAAGGCAUGGUAGUGUUCUACUAAAUGCACAUUACAAAAGUCCCUUACUGACGAUAAGCCAAAAAGGGCCAGAAGAUAUGAUGGCAAGCAUGUAAACAUAGCAAGUUUCGUUAUCAGGUUUCAGACUUAGCAGAAAACAGAGCAUGGCAGAAAUAUUAAUAUGUAGGACUCUUUGUGAGCUUGAUGCACUCACUACAGAGCAAUGCAUGACAACCCAAGCAUACCUACAGCAAGAUGGUAUGUUUAUGAAGCUAUCCAUGGCAAGAACAAUUGCAUAGCAUGUAUGGAUCAACUACAAUAAGCUUGGCAAAAAUGCAUGUCAUGUUAAGAAUCUGUCAGAAAUAUUUUAUAGAAAAAGUAGAGCAAGAUUGAGUCAUGCUAUGGUACUCUAAAAUUGCAAACAAUUGCAGGAAUGGAUCAAUUACAACUAUAGCUACAAAACAUCCCUACUUAACAUCUCCAAAAUAUGCAUGGAUCUCUCUGUAGCAUCAAGUUUUCAUGGAAACAAAAUUACAGCAGACUAGGACUUAGAGAAAUCACUAAGUCCCUGAAAUCAGAAAUAUUACGGGACCUACUUUGCAUGCUUGUGCUAGUCACCACAUAGAUCACAAAAAUACAUGGACUAUACCACUGGAAAGAUGGCAUGGCAUACUUCAAAACACAUGUAGAGCUCAUGCUCAAAAGGUGCACAGAAUAAAUGAUACAAAAAUGACAAAUCUCCAAGUUCUGUUAAGAACCAGAGAUUAACAGCAACUAGCCCUCUUCCAACGAAGAUUUGGGCAUCAAGAUGACCUCGAAUGAAAAUUAUGCAAUUGAACAAAAUGAAGAGCAUCACGAGACGAACAAUUUGACAUAUUAUACGCGCGAAUCGGAGCUACAUGCACAAAGUUAUCGCAUCGGGAACACAAGCACUUGCUGAUGGAAUUCACAGACUUGGGAAAAAACGGAGCUCGGGGAAAGUCAACGGGAACAGUGCUAUACCAGAUCGGAUCGAGGAGGCUUGCUCGAUCCCGAGCUCGUCGCCGGCGGGAGGAGGAAGGAAGGCAGAGGGAGCGGCGGCGCCGGUGGGGGAGGACGAGGCCGGCGGGGCUGCUCCGGCGGGGAAGGUGGCCGGCGGCGGGCGGCGAGCGCGCGGGACCGGCGGGGAAGCUCGUGGCGGCGGCGACCGGUGGCGAUGGCGAUGGCCGGCGGCGGCGGAGGCGGCGCCCGGCGGCGGGGCAGGCGCGCGGCGGAGGCGGCGCCCGGCGGCGGGGCAGGCGCGCGGCGGCGGGCGUGGGCCGCGGGGGCNNNNNNNNNNNNNNNNNNNNNNNNNNNNNNNNNNNNNNNNNNNNNNNNNNNNNNNNNNNNNNNNNNNNNNNNNNNNNNNNNNNNGGCGGCGGCGGCGCCCGGCGGCGGGGCAGGCGCGCGGCGGAGGCGGCGCGCGGCGGCGGGGCAGGCGCGCGGCGGCGGGCGUGGGCCGCGGGGGCCGGAGUCGGGCCCCGCGGGCCGGCGGCGGGGCGAGGCCGGAGGCGGCCACGUGGCGCUCGCGGGUUGGCCGGGCGGCGCGGCGGACGUGUCCGGCGCGGGCGGACGCGUCCGGCGCGGCGCGGAGGGAGAGGGUUAGGGUUUCGUCUGAGAUUUCGUUUUUCGGGAUGCCCACUCAUUUAUAGGUAGAGGGAGCUAGGAGACUCCAAAUGAGGUGCGGUUUUCGCCCACACGAUCGUGAUCGAACGACCUAGAGCAUGGAAGAGAGUUUGGUGGGCUUUGGGCUGGUUUUGGAGGGGGUUUUUGCUGGACACUCAAAUGGACAUUGCGGAGGCCCGGUUAACCGUUGGAGUACCAAACGACCUCCGAAUGGAACGAAACUUGACCGGUAGUCUCCGGGUGGUAUAUUAAGACCACUUGACAAGCCUCGGUCCAUUCCGAGAAAGUUUGACACACGCACACGAAAGAAAACUAGAAGGGUGCACCGGGGAAGAUAGGAGCGCCGGAUUGGAAAACGGACAACGGGGAAAAUGCUCGGAUGCAUGAGACGAACACGUAUGCGAAUGCAAUGCACAUGAUGAUAUGAUAUGAAAAUGCAUGACAUGACAAAAUACAAAACGAAAGACAAAACCCAACAACGGAGGGAAAAAACCUAUCACAUAGCCGGAAAUGGCAAGAGUCGGAGUUACAAAUAUGGCAAGUUACAUGCGGGGUGUUACAGGAACCCCAUGCCUCCUUCACUCUCAGAGAUACACAACUUCCACCACGCCAUCCAAUGCAUUUUUUGGGUCUCCUUAUCAUCAUCCACCAGAAUUGUGCAAUAGCAUCCGUGAUCUCUUUACAAAUUCCCUUCGGCAAGCUGAAAACAGACAUAGCAAAAACAUGAAUAGCUUGGGCCACAGUUUUUAAUAGGAUCUCCUUCCCUCCUGUAGAUAAUAUUUUUUUCCAUCCAUCCCAAUAAUCUAAUUUUAAUUCUCUCUACAAAAUGUCUGAAGCAGUCACUUCUAUCAGCUCCCACUAGAGCUGGGAGGCCUAGGUAUUUGUCAGAUAAUGCUUCUGUAUCAAUGUGCAGAAUCUCACAAAUCUCCGCUUUUGACACUACACUUGUAUUUGGACUGAAGAAAAUACUUGACUUAGCCAAACUCAUCAUUUGUCCUGAACUCUGGCAAUAGGUAUCUAGCGUCUGCUGUAAGGAAGUUGCAUUUAACACAUCUGCUUUCAUGAGAAUUAGAGAAUCAUCAGCAAAUAAAAGGUGUGAAACUGAUGGUGCAUUUUUACACACUCUAAUCCCAUCCAUGCCACCAACUUCUUCUUCAUACUGCAACAUACUAGAAAGUCCUUCUACACAAAUAAGGGAUAUGGGGAGAGAGGGUCCCCUGUCUAAUACCCCUCGUCGGAGUGAAAAUUUCUGUUUCAUGAGAGUUAAAUCUAACCUUGUAUCUCACAGAGCUAACACAAGACAUAAUCAUCUCAAUCCAUUGUGCAUGAAAACCAAGCUUCUGCAUCAUGCUUCUCAAAAAGACCCAUUCCACACGGUCAUAAGCCUUAUGCAUAUCUAGCUUUACUGCACACAAGCCUGUCUGCCCAGCUCUUUUAUUCUUGAUUUUGUGAAUACACUCAUACGCAAUCAACACAUUAUCCAUUAUCAAUCUACCAGGAACAAAGGCACUCUGAGUUGGCGAAAUAAUUUCUGGCAGGAUACUCUUCAGUCUCAGAGCUAACAUUUUUUAGAUGAUCUUAUACAAAACGUUGCAUAGACUUAUUGGUCUAUACCGAGUAAUCAUUUCAGGUGAGUCUAUUUUUGGAAUCAGCACAAUAGACGUCGUUCCACUCAACCGGAAUCUGACGAUUAUUUAACGCAAAUAAUACCUCCUGUGUAAUGGCGUCACCCAGGAUAUGCCAAAACUUUUUGAAGAAUAAUGCAUGGAGGCCGUCUGGUCCAGGUGCUUUUAGAUCACCAAUACUAAACACAGCCUUGCGAACAUCAUCUGCAGUGUACGGUGCAAUUAAGAAAUCAUUCAUUUGCGCUGUCACUUUGGACUGGACCUUUUGUAGUAUCGCCGGAUCAACCUGUCUUCUGAGCUGAACAAGUUAUUAAAGUAGCUUCGUAUAUGUGGACUAAGAAGAGUCGUACCUUCCAAUAUAUUUCCCUGUCCGUCAUUUAAUUUUUUAAUAAAAAAUUUCUUCCGUCUUGCCGUAGCAUAUGCCUGAAAAAAACCCGUAUUGCGAUCACCGAACUGGAGCCAGUUGGAUCUCGAUCUUUGCAUAUAAUGUAUUUCCUCGAGUUCUAGCAAAAACUCAAUCAAUUCAGAAAGCUCUUUUCUCUUCUCCUCUGUCUCAUCAUUCAUAGGGCCGGUCAUUAAUUUUUCCAACUCCCUUUGUGUCUGCCGAAGUCUCUUCUUUGGCUUCUUGAGCACUCUCUGAUCCCAAUCAUGGAACAUCCCAUGCAUACGGUCCAGUUUGGCCUGUACCGAAGUGAGGUUCGGAUUGGUUUCAACCCUCUGCCAUGUUUCCUGGACUAGAUCAGCAAAGCUAUUUUCUCUCAACCAUCUAGCCUCAAAGCGCUUCACCUGGUUGUCACUUCCAGUGCUAGGUAAGUAAUAUUCCGUGUCCACAAGCAAGGGUCUAUGAUCAGAAUGGUUGUAACUUAGAUUCUGUAAAGCUGCAUGGGGGUAUAGGGCACCCCAAGAGUCAUUAAUCAGGCCACGGUCCAGCCGCUCUCUAAUGCGACCUCGCUGCCACGUGAACUGGUCCCCCAGGAAACCCAUGUCCCUUAGCUCACAGUCAUGAAUGGCAGAUUGAAAAGCUUGCAUAUACUGUUGCGGUCUAGGAUUUCCACCAACCUUUUCAGUCAAGAACUGGAUCUCAUUCAAAUCCCCAAUUAGAAGCCAUGGUGAAUUGUUGAUCUGAUGCAACCGACGCAUCCUUUCCCAAGUUUUAUACUUAUCUUCCCAUCUGAACUCGCCGUACAUACCCGUCAGUCUCCACUUAACAUUGCUCUCAUCUUCUACCAUUACAUCAACGAACAUGGGGUCAAGCUCCAUCCUUUGUAUUUUCACUUCUUUUUUCCAAACCAGUAUCAAACCACCUUUCCGACCAUCUCCCGCACACACCAAUUUAUGAUCCUUGUUUAAUCUCCUUCGUAAACAUUUAGCCGGGUAGCUUUCCAAGUGAGUCUCUGACAGAAACAUCACGUCUGGGUUGCAUGCUCGCUGGACAUCCAACAACGCACGAACUGCUGCGGCGUUUCCGAGCCCGUUACAAUUCCAGCUUAAAAUUUUCAUGAUGACCGGAUAGCCUCCGACGAGAAGGCCGUGAAUCCGGUGAUCAACAACGAAAAAACUCUCGGCCGGCGUAGCCGCCGGAGGACAGCAGAUCACAACUUUGCAGGAGUGAUUUAUAAAGAGAACUCACGAUCAGCGUAGCUGCCGGAGGACAUCAAAACCCUGACUUUGUUAGUCAGGGGAACGGGAACCUGAAGAGAGGGCAUCUCGUUAGUGCAUCAAGCCAGCCUCACGAGGAGGUCACAGGGCCAGCGGCCGGCGGCGGCGGCGGCGACGCAGAUCGCCAGGAAUAUCGCCUCCGAGGUAAGCGCUACCUUUGCUCCAGCGACAUCGACGACUUCGGGUCUGAUGGCGACGGAAACGGCGAAGCGGUGGAGGUGGAGCGGGCGAGGGCACUCACCCCAUGAUCGACGAGGAAUGGGAUAGGAUGAUUGCCAAGAUCACUGAUAGUGAUGAUGAGUAGUUUGUUUAAUUUUUAUGUAAUCUUUAGUUUAGAUUUGGUUAAUUGUUAUCUAAAAUAGUUUAUGCUAGUGGUUGAAUCGAGUUCAAAUCAAGUAUGAUGGACUAGUUUGAUCAAAUUUGCACCGAAUUUGUGUUCAAUUUUUUUAUUAGUUAAGUUUAGGGGUUUGUUAGAAACUACACUUUUUUAGAAGAACAAAUAUACUCUUCUUAAGGAUAGGAGGCCAUAUAUAUUCCUCCAAAUUAUAAGAGAUCGGUUAGAGAUGCUCUUAAAGAAGCUUGAUUGAUUUUGUUAUAGAGCAAGCUGCAAGGGUGGACGAUCUUCACGAUCUGUAAAUAAAUUUGAGGAAGAUCACGAGGGAAAACAGAAGGAAUCACAAGGAAAACAAACACAAAUUAACACACAUAUUGCAACACAAGAUACCCUUGUGUUUGGAGGUUCCGAGCUCUUCCUGGUACUUAGUCCGGACAUUCCAGAAGCGUUGUCACCGAUUCCAGACGAACACUGGAUCAUGUCUAGAGACUCCUGAGUUUGCAGACUUCGUGGAACUUGGACCUUUGGGGUUGCCGUUCCUGGCUCCAUGUCCCGCACCCUUGUCUUCACGGUUCCUUCUCCACUUUCAUGCUUCCUUCUUGGAGGGUGUAGUCGUUCGCUUGUGCUUGACCUUCUCUGUGCCAUGUGUGAUAUUUGACUCAAACCUAAAGGUGUGUCAAGUAGUAUACUAUCUUCAAGAGAACUAAGUAGACACGUGUACAUGAGAAGAUUCGCCUUUAUAUGUAUAAUGUGGACGAUGCGCCAUAGAGAAGAUGAUGCGUUUGUCUAACUAGCUCUCUAAAUUAUAUCUACUACACAGUAAUCUCUUGAUUUACACCCCUUUCUCUACUAUCAUCCACGACCCAUAGCAGAUCGUGAGAUCAAUGGUGUAUUAACCAAAGAACACAGAAGAAAUAGCUUAGCUCUGCCAGUACUAGCCAUUCAUCCUCAGGGAUGAAGCCACGCAACCUCUCUCCCACCUUUCUCCAUGGCAUCUACCAUCUUUGAUCUAGAUGGAAGGACUCCUCCAUUGGGAUUUCUCCCCGGGCAUUGCCCUCGAAGAUCAGGUGAGAAAAAGGUUUGGAUCCACGAUGCAUUUUUCUCCUUCUCGGGAUCACAAGGAGUUCUUCUUGGUGGUCUCCUUUUCCUCGGCCUCCUUCCCUCUCACUGUGGACUCAGUGGGUGUGGCACUGCAAUGCUGCCUUGGUGGUUCUAGUGCUGGAUUUCGAGUUAUGCAAAUUAAUUCUAGAUCAUUUCGUUUCUCUGUGGCAAAUAACAAGGUUGGUCAUUUCAUAUAUGGGCUUAAGGAUAGAAUUUGGCCAGAUUUCAUUUGUCACUUUCAUCUCUUCCAUGGCCGUUUUGCGAGAGCUCCAAUUUUUGAUCAUCGCUGGCAUGCUGACGAGACAUUAAGUGAUCUUUCUGCCCGUCGACGGUUGGCCGUCAAAUCAAAUUUGAGUUUUCUCAAGAAGGAUACUCAUUGGAGUCGAUCAUCGGGUCAUGAAUUAAGCAAGUUCAAUAUUACUCCUUUGGAUCAUAUGGUUUUCUCUGACAAGAAUCGUAUGGAGGCUUCUUCUUCGGGGGUGAUUCAUGCUCUUACUCAUGAUCAUCAUAAAACUCAUGAACACUCUUCGGCCGCUCAAUUCAAAUUUGGGUCUUUUGCGCCAUUAUCCGCUGGCACACCGGUAAUUCCGCCACAUUAUGGCCCCCCUACAUUAUUGGAACAUUUUUACUACAGGCAGAUUUGGAGCAAAAUCAAUCACCGAAUUAUCUCCGCUUGGGCAAUUUUAAUUGCAUCAUUAAUGCUCCUUAUCCUACGUUACCACAAUGCUUUCUGUCCUCGGCAUUCAAAUAUGCGCCUCCUCACAAAGACUGCCCCCCCCCACUCUUUCAGCCCAUCACAAGGCUAACCUGGCCCAGGCUGCGUACUCAGCAGAAACAAUCUCGGACCUGGCCGCUAACUGGGCCUCUUUGUGCUCUCGUUGCCUUCAAUGGGGACAUAAGAAAAUAUCUUGCCCAGCCCGGAUAAUUUGCAUUUAUUGCUCCGCGCCUGAUCACAAGGCUUUGACUUGCCCGUUUAGAUUAAACAGGAUUCCGAUUAAUUCCGCUGCUCGAUCUUUAAUUCCUGGGAAAGUUAAUAAUCCCUCCGGAUUUCCUCCUUCAGUUGUGCGGUCCCAAUAUCUGUCACGCAAGAUUUCCCGUAGAACAUUACGGUGUGAGAGCUGUGGUCGAUAUGGGCACGUGGCACAAGCCUGCACACGGCGCCAAUACAAGGAAUGCUGGGAGAGGGUACCAAAACAAAAUCAAUCUUCCCAAUCUACCCCUCACGUUCCAAUUUCUGCCUCGACUUCCCAAUCGCCGUCUCUGCCCAGCCCUGCCACACCACAGUUGCCACCAUUGCUGCUACCUCCCUCUCCGCCCAUGGCGAACUACCCCCUCAACCUCGUGCCGUUCCUUCCGCUGGGGUUUGCUGUUGAACCGGGGCCCGCCGACCGGGUGGUGCACAGCGGAAUGGUGGUCAGCCCAAUCCCUCCGCUCAACCACGAUUUUCUCGCAGUUGCAGAAGCCAGCGCGUACGUCCCGUUACAUCGUCGGGCUGCAAUCCGCACCGCAAUCGAAGGUUUGCUUCAUGAGGCUCAACUCUUUACUACAGAAUCCAGUGAUCAUCCAUUUAGCAUUGGGGUUUUUGGGUUCGUUGGUUCCUUCAUGAGAGAUACGGCUAUGGCCACCCCCUUAGAGCUGGAGGAUGAGGAUUUGCUGAUUACCUUUGUACCUCACCAUGAAACACUCAACAGACGCACCACCACCUUUGGGCCACAGAUCUGGCUUAUGUACUUUGGCUUCCCCUACGAUUAUCAAACAGAGUAUUACAUUAACAAGUCGCUAGGGGGUUUUGGAUCUCUGAUUUCUUGGUACAAUCCGCGCCAGGACAGACAUUUUAUGCUGGUUAAUGCUCGGGUGAUUCACUUGCGUCUUGUUCCUAAAAGUUUUGUUGUUUGGCAACUGGGUGGGGCUCGAGACUGUUGGACUGUGCAGAUUACGAUUCUUCGGAGCAAUGACUGGAAUGCACUGCUGCCUGAAGUGCCUCCCGCCGACGAGGAACCCCCCGCACCGGACGGCAACCCUCACCCAUACUUCGGUCCUGACCUGACGGCCGNNNNNNNNNNNNNNNNNNNNNNNNNNNNNNNNNNNNNNNNNNNNNNNNNNNNNNNNNNNNNNNNNNNNNNNNNNNNNNNNNNNNNNNNNNNNNNNNNNNNNNNNNNNNNNNNNNNNNNNNNNNNNNNNNNNNNNNNNNNNNNNNNNNNNNNNNNNNNNNNNNNNNNNNNNNNNNNNNNNNNNNNNNNNNNNNNNNNNNNNNNNNNNNNNNNNNNNNNNNNNNNNNNNNNNNNNNNNNNNNNNNNNNNNNNNNNNNNNNNNNNNNNNNNNNNNNNNNNNNNNNNNNNNNNNNNNNNNNNNNNNNNNNNNNNNNNNNNNNNGUGCAGAAUGCAGCUCCGAAUCAUCCUCCCCCCCCCCCCGCGGGUCAAGCCCCUGAUCAGGUACAUGAUAAUGCUGGCUGGGGGGCCUGGCCGGAGCCGCCUGCACCACCCAUGCCACCUUUCCUGAUGAAUUACCAAGCAUGGUUGGCAGCACAAGGCCUCAAUGUCCAGGACGGAGUGACACCUGAAAACAACAUUACUGACAGCGCCACACAAGCUUGGAACGAUUCAAUCGCUGUGUCAGAUGAUGGUAGCUCUGAAACUUCUGCUCUUGCAAUGGUCCCUCUGGAUAACCUGUUUGUACCACCUCCUGUCGACAACAACUCUGCUGAAGUUCUUACUGUUUCUGUGGAACUGCAUAGUCAGGGUCUGCAUUUUGGUCUCUCUUCUCAAGGUGAUAUGUUGAUGGCGCUUCUGCUUAAUGAUCCUAUACCUCGUCAACAGCUGAACACUGCUAUAUUUUCUGCUCUGCACCCUCUCAUGGCCACCUAUGGUCCCUGGAAUCAAGGUUAUGGUAUGAGACAGGACAAUCUCAUGGUGGAAGUUCAGGUUUCUAGUGGACCUGAUGGUAUUCAGUCCACACAGUUGGCUUCUCAGGUAAAUGGGACACCUCUCGGCUCUUCAGUGGUGAUCAUUGAAUUAUCAUCUGACAUUGGGCACUCUUCAAACUCAGCUACUGCCAGUCAGACGGUUCCUGCUUCUGUCUUUGAGCCCUCACAGUUUGAAGAGAAUAUUGAGGUCGUCCCUGAUGACACCACUGCUGCACAUAUACCUGCUGCAACUGCUGCUCUGAGCGUGUCCGACACUGCACCCCAACCGAGUACCAUAACUGAAGAAGUUAACCAGGGGAGCAAUUUACAGUUAACAGAGGUGAGUCUGCAUUCUGCAACCAGUUCUUCUAGGCAGCGUAAAGGGAAGAUGGCUGCUCCGAUUAAUGCUUCAACCCUCAGGCGCAGUACUAGAAACAAUAAGUAUGAUGGUUUCCGCAUUGUUCAGACCACAGAUACACGCUCCAACAAGUCCAAAGUGAAGCCCCGCAUUGUGCCUUCUGCUGCAGUUGGACUGAAUGUCAUUAUGGAAGGACAACAAUCUGAAGACCAAGAAGAAGCUGCUCCUCCUCCAACGACCAUCUCCACCAUGCAGGCAAUUGGCACUCAGCUAUGUGCCAUCCCAGCGGACGAGCUCACUAUGGCUAAACUCUCCAAGGAACCGGAGGAUCCUUCGGCCUCGGCUUAAUUACCUGCUUUUGCUUUUCAUCUAUGGUUCUUUUGCAAAACUGGAAUGUGUUAUGCUGGAAUGUCCGUGGUUUUAAUUCCCCUGAGAAACAUUUAGCCCUUUCUAAUGCAAUCAACACUAGUGGUUGCUCUGUUAUAUGUUUGCAAGAAUCUAAGAUGCAAAGGUUUGAUGCAUCUUCUCUUAAGGCCUUAUGCCCAAAGCGUUUUGAUAAAUUUGCUUACGUUCCAUCUAGAGGGGCAUCAGGAGGUCUAAUCACGAUAUGGAACAGUAGCAUGUUUUCGGGUACUGUAUUCUUAUCUGAAUCCUUGGCACUGGGUAUACACUUCACUUCUACUCAAUCAGCUCACAGUUGGAAAUUGAUUAAUAUCUAUGGCCCAUGUCAAGGGGAGCAGAGGGAAACCUUCACCAAAUGGUUAUUUGCUAUCAAUAUUCCCUCAACUGAAGAUUGGCUCCUACUUGGGGAUUUCAACUAUAUACGCUCACCUGAAAACCGUAAUAAACCAGGAGGGGAUCUGAACGAUAUGCUCACCUUUAACGAGUUUAUUCGCGAGCAACAUCUUACUGAACUACCGAUCAAGGGAAGGAAAUUUACAUGGUCUAAUAUGCAGCAAAAUCCACUCCUAGAACAAUUGGACUGGUUCUUCACAACAUUAAACUGGACUCUCUCCUUCCCCAACACGAUGGUCACACCUCUUGGUCGUCUUGUUUCUGAUCAUGUUCCUUGCUCGGUUGUAAUUCAGACAACAAUCCCCAAGAGUAAAUUAUUCAGAUUUGAAACAUACUGGAUUGCUCAUCCAGGGUUUAUGGAUGUUGUGGCUCAGGCUUGGGAGAAGCCCAUCAAAUUUGAUAAGCGAUCGAACUCCGCCUCCAUUCUUUGCCAAAAACUUAAGGCAGUUAGGCAUGCACUCAGUCACUGGAGCAAAAAGAUUUCAAGGUUAAAAGUGGCCAUUGAAAAUACUGAUAAAGCGAUUCUAGAAUUGGAUCAGAUUGAAGAUCGCAGGUCCUUAACAAUACCAGAAUCCAAUUUUAGGAAAAUUCUCAAAAAACACUUACUGCGCUUGCUCCAAUAUCAUAAAGAAUACUGGAAAAAAUUGCUGCACAAUAAGAUGGGUCCGCUUUGGUGAUGAAAAUUCAAGGUUUUUCCAAACAGUGGCAACUGAGCGAUAUAGGAAGAAUUGUAUAUCUAGCCUGAAAACCUCUGACGGCGCCACUGUUGAUGAUCACACUGCCAAGGAGGCCAUUCUUUUUGACACGUUCAGAGAUCGCAUGGGCAAAUCCAACCCCCCUCAUAUGAAGUUCAAUCUAUCACAAAUGAUGAGAGCACAAGUGGACUUUGAUAGUCUCACAACUCCAUUCACCCACGAAGAGAUAUAUGCUGUUGUCAAAGAAAUGCCGCCUGACAAAGCCCCGGGUCCUGACGGUUUCAACGAUGCAUUCUUAAAAGCUUGCUGGCCCAUCAUUAAACAAGAUUUCUAUCGUCUUUGUGAGGAUUUUCAUCGAGGCAACCUAAAUCUGGAGAGCUUGAACUAUGGUUAUAUCACACUCAUACCUAAAACCAACACACCUGAGAUAGUAAAUGAUUAUAGACCUAUUACACUCCUCAACUGCUGCCUCAAAUUGAUCACCAAGUUGCUUGCUAAUCGUCUCCAAAAAUUAUCCUCAACAUUGUACAUAAAAACCAGUAUGGAUUUCUGCGAGGGAGGUCAAUUCAUGACUGCUUGGCCUGGGCGUUUGAGUACAUUCACCAGUGUCAGACAUCCAAGGAACAGAUUGUGUUACUUAAACUAGACUUUGCCAAAGCUUUUGACACCAUACAACACGAGGCCAUGAUCAAGAUUAUGCAUAGUAUGGGCUUCAACCAAAAAUGGAUGGAUUGGAUUAAAUGUAUUUUCUCCUCGGGCAAAUCUUCGGUUCUUCUAAAUGGAGUUCCUGGCCGACAGUUUCAAUGCAAAUGCGGCGUCAGGCAAGGUGAUCCGUUGUCUCCGCUGAUAUUUGUACUUGCUGCAGAUCUACUUCAGGCUGCCAUCAAUGAGGCCCUUGAAGCAAACUUACUGAAACACCCUAUACAGCCCCGAUCUGAUGCUAAAUACCCUGUUAUCCAGUAUGCGGACGAUACUAUUAUCCUCAUGCCUGCAUGUCCUGACCAAGCUGCCCAGAUCAAGAAGAUUCUUGAAGAUUAUGCUGCUUCUAUUGGCCUCCGAAUCAACUUUCACAAGUCAACCUUGGUGCCAAUCAACACCCCCCUGGGAAGUGCAAUGAACUGGCUACACUCUUUGGAUGCACCACGGCGACCAUGCCUUUUACCUACCUAGGUCUCCCACUUGGCACCACCAAACCUUCAGUGCGAGAUUUGACACCGUUGCUAUAAGGCGGAGAGGAAAAUUACAGCCGCCAUGUCUCUCAUGUAUUAUGCUGGCAAGCUAGCCCUAAUUAACUCAAUCAUAACCUCUCUGAUCAUGUAUUCCAUGGGCACUCUCAGGCUACCUCCAAAAAUAGUAGCGCAACUUGAUAAGAUACCUCGACACUGCCUAUGGAAGAAGAAAACUGAAGAUGGACAAAAUGCAAUUCUCUUGCUGCUUGGGACAUGAUAUGUCGCCCCAAAAACAGUGGAGGGCUAGGUGUGCUCCAUUUGCGUACCCAGAAUGAUGCGCUCCUGCUCAAAUUCCUACACAAGUUUUACAACCGACUAGAUAUACCGUGGGUGACCUUGAUCUGGGACACAUACUACACCAAUUCCGUCCCUCAUGCCACCGAACCCUGUGGAUCCUUUUGGUGGCGCGACCUCAUCCAUCUCAUGCCCAUCUACAGGGGGUAUCAUUGGUGCAUGUUCGUAGUGGCCAAACGACACUGUUCUGGAAAGAUAACUGGAAUCAAUGCAUAUAUGUCGAGACUCACCCUCGGGCUUACUCCUAUUCCACUAUGAGGAUGCAUCAAUACAGGAGUUUCUGGCUACCACAAUGCUCGGUUCGGCCUUCCAGCUCCCCCUCUCACCACAGGCACACGAUGAACUGAAGCAAAUCCAAGAUGAUGUUGCAGGUGUCACUCUCACUGAUGCAAAAGAUAUUUGGACUUAUAUUUGGGGGUCUGCUGAUUUCAAGACCAAAGCAUAUUAUUCAUUCUACUUCAGAGAGAUCAUUGCACCUGUCGCCUUCAAGUGGCUAUGGAAGUCCAAAUGUAUACCCAGAAUCAAGGUGUUCGGCUGGUUUUUGCUGUCUGAUCGUCUUAACACCAGAAACAUGCUAAAGAGACGCCACUAUAACAUUGGGGACAACCUCGACUGCCUGCUGUGUGGCCAACAUGUGGAGGAGACAGUGGAACAUCUGUUCUUCCAUUGUGAUUUCAGCAAGGCAUGCUGGGAUACGCUUCAUAUCACUUGGCCCUCACAUGGCAACAGACUUGAGCUGCUCAAACAAAUGAGAAACCUUCACCCACGCAAAAUGAUCAUGGACAUUUUUCUAGUGGCUGCUUGGAGUCUCUGGAAGGAACGCAAUAACAAUUACUUCAGACAGGUAGCCCCCACCAUGUCAUCUUGGAAAAGGAGGUUCAGGGAAGAUUUUGCCAAUAUUCAACACAGAGUCCCUGCUCAUAAAGCACAAGUGGUGACUGCCAUUUUGGAGGGCAUACUGUAGGCUACUUUGAUCACUUUGUUGUAGGAUAGCUAUACCCCACUCACUCUUGUAUAUACCCACCAGUAGUGCCCCCCCCCCACAUUGUACAUGUAACUGUUUGAGUUUUCUUUAAUAUAUAUGCAGUAGGAGCCUUUCCUACUGUUCAAUUUUCAAAAAAAAAAUGGUGUAUUAACCGUCAAGGACUGAAGUUAAGGAUUGUAUUGGGCUGAGGCCCAUAAAAUCUAACACUUUAACUAUAAUUUUGUGAUGUCUACAAUGUUCACCUUGUUAGAGUUAUAUUUAUGAUGUCUUUUAGCUUUCUGUAUUUUGGCCUUUGGCCUCCCCCUGUACUUGUAUAUAUGAUGGCUUUGGCCUUGAGAUAAUACUAAGUUGCGAUUCCUAACAUGGUAUUAGAGCUCUAGGUUUAUUUGCAUGCGCAACUCGUGCUCUUCCGAUCCAAAAUUCUUGCGUCGGCGGUCGCUGCUCCUCUCUCUCUUCGGCCGAUCACUGGUCCUCUGUGCGCACGUCCACCACACCACCAGCAUCCAUCCAUAUCAGCAGCAGCACACCAACGCAUCCACGCUGCGGGUAGCCGGAUCGGCUUUCUUUCCAAGACCUUCGUUACUGGUCGCCGUCGCCUUCAGGACGCGCUACUCGCUGGAUUGGCUUCUUUCCAAGACCUCCGGUCGUUGGUGCUGCCAUCCGGCCGCCCUCCGGUCGUCCGUGUCGCCAUCCCGCCAUUCGUACCGCCCGACCGCUCCCGACGUCCAUCCGUUGCAUCGAGCGCAUGCGCGUGAGCUCGAUUUCGAGUCAGCUUGUCGCUGCUCCUCCGGCCGGCGGCGGCUCCGCUCCAUCUCACUGGUCGGACGGACCCGACCUCGUGUGGUGCUUCUCCAGUGUCGUCCGCAUCUCCAGUUGGGAAUUCCUGCAGGCCUUCCGCUGCUGCCAAACUCGAUCUGAGCUUCCGUGUGUCGUUUGAGCGUCCGUUGUUUUAUCCCCUGGGCUUCCUUCGUGAGCUUGAGCAGCUGUUCAGAUUGGUUUAGUUAUAUUAUCUGGAAAAAAAGAGUAAAAAGAGAGAGAAAAAAAGGGACAAUGCUUUCAUUGGGUUGCCUUUCCCUCGCUGCCCGGUGUUUUCUGACGGUGUACCGUACAUUGAUCCUGUCUCGCACAUGUGCCUUUCUUCGAUGCUGGGUCCUCGCCCGCUUGGCGGCGGCGGUUGUCGCUCUGCUUCGAUAGUUUUAGCGACUUCCACCGGUGCUACUGGUUGUUCUACAUCGACUCUCUUGGCGUCUUCUACCGGCUAUGUUGGUCGUUCUUCAACGACUCUUCCCACGACUUCUGCACCUGGUGAUUGUCGCCUUACAUCGACUCCCUCUAUGGGUUCUGCACACAGUGGUUCUACCUCGACCUCUACCACGGUGUCCCUGUCUGCGCAUGAGAUUGCGCAACUCCGAUGCCUUCUUGCUGCUUGGGAUUCCUCACCGACAGGUUCUGCAGCUUCUGCACCUAAGUUUUCUGGCACUGAGAGACCACCUUCUACUCAUUUAGGUACAUCCUUAUGGAUUCUUGAUAUUGGUGCAUCUUUUCAUAUGACUCAUGAUUCUUCCCCUUUGACCUUCAUUCGACCUGUUGAGUCACCUAUUCAUGUUUUUACAGCUGAUGGUACGCCCCUCCCUGUCACUAGUCGAGGCACUCUUAGCACUUCUUCCUUUCGUGUUCCCUCUGUUGCUCAUGUUCCUCAACUUAGCAUGCAGCUCUUUUCAGGUAGUCAGAUUGUUGACUCUAGUUGUAGGGUCAAUCUCGACUUUGAUUCAUGUUCUGUUCAGGAUCGUUGCACAGGCGCUCUGCUUGGUGCUGGCCCUAGACGCCACGAUGGUCUCUGGGAGCUUGAUUGGCUUCGUCUUCCCUCCGAUGCCACCGCCAGUCUCGCGACCCCUAUUGCCGCAUCUGCUAGCUCUUUUCAUCAGUGGCAUCAUCGUCUUGGCCAUUUAUGUGGUUCUCGUCUCUCGUCUUUAGUUCAUCGUGGUGUUCUGGGGCCUGUCUUUGGUAAUGCUUCGUUGGGUUGUCUAGGUUGUAGACUUGGUAAGCAGAUUCAGCUACCAUAUCCUCACAGUGAGUCAGUGUCCCAGCGUCCCUUUGAUCUUGUUCACUCAGAUGUUUGGGGUCCGGCUCCCUUCGCUUCGAAAGGGGGUCAUCGCUACUAUAUUCUCUUUAUAGAUGAUUUUACACGCUAUCUAUUUCAUGUCUUCUCGUAGUGAGGUCUUAUCUAUAUACAAAAAAUUUGCUGCCAUGGUUCAUACCCAGUUCUCCACUCCUAUCUGUGUUUUCCGUGCAGAUUCUGCUGGAGAGUACAUCUCUUGUGCACUGCGAGGAUUUCUUACUGAACAGGGUACUCUUCCCCAGUUCUCUUGUCCUGGUGCUCAUGCUCAAAAUGGUGUGGCUGAACGCAAACACCGUCACCUUUUUGAGAUGGCGCGUGCGAUGAUGAUCGCUGCCUCUCUUUCGCCUCACUUUUGGGCUGAAGCUAUUUCCACUUCCACCUAUCUCAUCAACAUCCAGCCAUCUGCUGCUCUGCAGAGUGGUAUUCCUUUCGAGCGUCUUUUUGAUCGUUCCCCUGAUUAUUCGGCGCUACGUUUGUUUGGUUGUGUUUGCUAUGUUCUUCUUCCUCCACGAGAACGCACCAAACUGACCGCUCAGUCUGUUGAGUGUGUAUUUCUAGGAUACAGCGAUGGGCAUAAGGGUUAUCGGUGUUGGGAUCCUAUCGGUCGACGGGUGCGUAUUUCCCAGGAUGUGACCUUUGAUGAGUCUUGUCCUUUCUACCCGCGUCCAUCCUCCUCGACCUUUUCUGUGGAGGACAUCACUUUUCUCACAUUUCCUGAUACUCCUCCCUCUGUGCCCCAUAUUCCUACCUCUCAUUCCCCCGUUGUUGCAGACAUGGCCCCGUCCUCUUCCACGGUUUCUUCUCCUCCCUUAUCGGAUGAGUCUCCACCUUCACCCCCGAUACAUUCCCCGUCUCCACCUUCAUCAUCGACGCCUUCCCCGUCUCCACCUCCCGUGAUUCCUACACGCCCCUCUUUUCCUUUCCAUUACACUCGUCGGCCACGUGUUGUGGAUGUGUCCACUGACACGCCAUCAACUUCUGGUGUGCCGUCUUCCUCUUCUCAACUGACUUAUGGUCUUCGAGCUCGGCCUUGUCCUCAACCUGAUCGAUAUUCUCCUUCCAAAUAUGGUCUUUCGACUGUCCUUGAGCCUACCUCUUAUCGUGAUGUUGUUGUUCAUCCUGAAUGGCAGUUUGCGAUGGCAGAGGAGAUUGCUGCACUUGAGCGCACUGGCACGUGGGAUCUGAUUUCUCUUCCUCCCCGUGUUCGUCUCAUCACUUGUAAGUGGGUCUAUAAGAUUAAGACUCGCUCUGAUGGUUCUCUUGAGCGAUAUAAAGAUCGUCUUGUGGCCUCGUGGUUUUCAGCAGGAGCAUGGCCAUGAUUACGAUGAGACAUUCGCUCCUGUGGCCCAUAUGACCACUAUCCGCACACUUCUCGUUGUAGCCUCUAUUCGUCAUUGGUCCGUGUCUCAGCUUGAUGUUAAGAAUGCCUUUCUUAACGGUGAGUUGCGUGAGGAGGUUUAUAUGCAACCACCACCUGGGUAUUCUGUUCCUGAUGGCAUGGUUUGUCGUCUUCGUCGCUCUCUCUACGGUCUCAAGCAAGCCCCUCGCGCUUGGUUUGAGCGUUUUGCCUCUGUGGUGACUGCAGCUGGUUUUUCUCCCAGUGCUCAUGAUCCAGCGUUGUUUGUCCACCUUUCCGCUCGUGGUCGCACUCUUCUUCUUCUAUAUGUUGAUGACAUGAUCAUCACUGGCGACGAUCUUGAGUACAUUGCCUUUGUCAAGGCCCGUCUCAGUGAGCAGUCUCUUAUGUCUGAUCUUGGUCCUCUUCGUUACUUUCUUGGGAUUGAGGUUUCCUCCACCUCCGAUGGCUUUUUUAUUUCCCAAGAAAAGUAUAUCCAGGAUCUUCUUACUCGGGCGGCUCUUAGUGAUGAGCGCACUGCUGAGACUCCUAUGGAGCUUAAUGUUCACCUUCGUGCUUCCGAUGGUGAACCCUUGUCCGAUCCAACUCGUUUCGUCAUCUUGUUGGCAGUCUUGUCUAUCUCGCCGUCACUCGUCCAGAUAUCUCCUAUCCCGUCCAUAUCCUGAGUCAGUUUGUUUCUUCUCCCACUUCGGUUCACUAUAGUCACCUUCUUCGUGUUCUACGACAUCUUCGUGGCACGAUCUCUCACCGUCUCUUCUUUCCUCAUUCCAGCUCGUUACAGCUCCAGGCCUAUUCAGAUGCUACCUGGGCUAGUGAUCCUUCGGAUCGUCGUUCACUUUCUGCUUACUGUGUCUUUUUUGGUGGUUCUCUCAUUGCCUGGAAGACAGAGAAACAGACUGCAGUUUCCCGUUCGAGUGCUGAGGCUGAGUUGCGAGCUAUGGCUCUUCUCACCGCAGAGGUGACUUGGUUACGCUGGUUACUCGAAGAUUUUGGUGUUUCCAUUACUACACCUACUACACUCCUGUCAGACAGUACAGGUGCUAUCAGUAUCGCGCGGGACCCCGUGAAGCAUGAGCUUACCAAGCAUAUUGGUGUUGAUGCUUUCUUUGUGCGCGCUGCUGUGCAGGAUCAUGUUGUUGCUCUUCCGUAUGUGCCUUCUGAAUUACAGCUAGCGGACUUCUUCACGAAGGCCCAGACUAGAGCACAACAUGGAUUUUACCUCUUCAAACUUAGUGUUGCAGAUCCACCAUGAGUUUGAGGGGGGGUGGUGUGUUAGAGUUAUAUUUAUGAUGUCUUUUGGCUUUCUGUAUUUUGGCCUUUGGCCUCCCCCUGUACUUGUAUAUAUGAUGGCUUUGGCCUUGAGAUAAUACUAAGUUGCGAUUCCUAACACACCUUGUAUAAAUAAAAGCUCGGCCGUAUUUGCAUUUUGUUUAAUGUUUUUCAAAAUUGAUGUCCAAUUUUCAUUAAGAAAUUAAAAACCAUACACUGAGUGCUUCUUUAGUUAAAACGAUUGUCAUUGAUAGUUUGGAUGCCUAGGAUAUGUUUAAUUUGAGUGACUCCAAUAUGAUUUUUCUUAAGGAAUCCUUUGCACCACAUUUGAAAGCAAAAUUUCAAUCCACCACAACGUCUUGAUUUAUUUUUUGUGGUGCAACGGGAGGAUAUAAGUGCUAAUGACAUGCAAACCUGUGUUUUUCAAAUCCUACAAAUCAAAGAGGGACUGAAUCAUAUAUUUUUGGGUCCACCAUACAAGUUCGAAACUGAGAAAAAAAAGUACCACAGACAUAGUCGUUAUAUAAAUUGUUCAAGUUACAUUCGACCUUCAUCAGGUUGCCACUAGGAGGCUUUGAUCGGCUCAUGUUUUUCUUACCCAACAGGGGAUACUUACAUUUUACCAAGACAAAGCCUACUAAUAUAAGAUCAACACCACUUAAUGCCAUUGGUCUUGCCCAGGCAUGCAAUAUAAGAAGCAUAUACCUAUAUAUCAUAAAUUUGCAAGCUGAAAACAGUAAGCAUGCUAGUUGGGCUUGAAGAACUUGAGCUUCAUCCCAGUGUUAAUGAUGCUCCAGACACCACCCACAGAGGAGGCCAAGCUGAAGGCGGUGCCGAGCAGCGCGAGGCCCCAGUUCACAUACCAACUGUAGCUGAACCUCUCAGGCUUCUUGAUGCAGAUCCACAUGAAGCACGGGUAGGCAAACGUCACCGGCAGCGUUAGGCCGCCCAGAAGGCCGGCGAGGCUGGAGAGGAACGGCAGAGCGAUGCCGAUGAAGAGCGAGAUGAACCCGUAGAAGAUCCUGAAUCCUGACCGGACCCAGACUGAGCAGGGCCGGUUGGUGCGACCUGUGUAGAAGGCCUCAAAGCUGUCGAACACCGGCAUGGAGUAUAUCUGGAAGCUGCUAAGGCAGUUGAACACGACGAGGAGGAACGUCGCCGCAAGGAGCCCACGAGAGAUGUCGUGGCCGUGGAAGAUGUAGAGUGCGGUCAGGAUUCCUCCUGCUGGCAUCUGACGGCAUGGGAAAGAACAACAGAAAAGUUCCAAGGAUUGUUAGCAAAUAAAGAAAAGCAUCACGACAGGAUGAUGAUGAUGAGUGAGGAGUAGAUGAUUGAAGUACUUGCCAUGUUUCCGUAGGCCCAGUAACCCCCAAUGGCAACAGGGAAGAUGCACAUCGCAAUCAGAAGAUAAGCCGCUUUGGCCCCGCGCCACAUAGGCACAUGUGCAGGGUGUUUGAAAGUCGACGGCAUCGUCGCCUGGUAGUUGUAAAAUUAAAUUCAAAUAAAACAAAUGAAGCCACCAAAUGGAACUACAUAGUACUGAAAGUCUAACAGGACUGGUUGUUUACUAGUGGUACUAACCUGUAUUUCUAAUGAAAGAUUGUGUCCCCUGAAUGCAAAGGCUAUUAUCCCAAGAGCAUUCAAGGUAGAGAACAACGAUGAGCCAAAAGAAGUGGAUCUCACUUGUUCAUAAGAGACUGCUGCCGGCCGUUGCUGGCUGACAGAGAGAACCCACGACAUGGUGCAGUACAUUAUCGCUGUGGCGCCACCGAUAAGCGAAAGCCCAGCAAUCGAGUUGAGAUUCGGGAGCUGGGAAAGAAUGACUGCUAAGGAUGUGAAUACCAAGUACCACUCCACCGUCGAAAUAGGGCUUGGUGUACAAAGGGGGCCGCACACUAUUUGGUAAAAGAGUUUCAUAGUCUCCCCUCCAACAAGGAUCAAUGCAGUUGCAGUGCCCGCCGAAAGAUAAAUAGUUGGGAAAAGAGCUAGCCACACCCCCAGUUUUUCUCCUGAAUGAAUAAACAGAUAGAAAUCAGUAACUCGGCUAAUUUUCCGUCCUACAAAACGAAUUUCCAGUCAUCAUCAAUAUAGCAGCAGAUCAGCAGACAAUCUAGGCAGCAUUGCAUGUACUAACCCAGCUUGGUAUAACAAUAGGCAAUAAUUGGUUAAUUACUCAAAGUGUGUGUUGCAAUGGUUUGAUUAGAAGGAUCAUGGAGUGAUUGUGGUAGCAGAAAGUUCCACAUUUUACACCACUGUAGCAUGAGAGCGAUAUGUUAUAACCGUUAAGCAGUCAUUUCUACUGUUCCAGAUGUGGAUCAAAUCAUGAGAGUGAUUGUACAUUAAGCUGGCACUACCCAUGCUUGAACACUACACCUAGCUAAUAAUAUUAAAAGAUUCUUCCGUUAAGCUACAUGAAACAGAUCGUCAACAUUGACAACGACUCCAAACAUGGCACAUCAUUGACAGCAAACAUUGGCACAUAUAUCCAGGUUGGAAUCAAGAGUUAAUUGUCAUGAAUUUGCAAAAUAGCGAAGGGCAUGUCUUUGUCUCACCAAAUGCAGCUUGUGCAAGCUCCACAUAUCUGUUGUACCUCCUGCCUGGGACUGCUUCAUGAAGCUUGACUAGAAUGGAGAGUGUGUAUAGUUGCCAGAAGUAAGCAACAGUCAAUGAUAUUAUUCCCCAGCUCCUACAGUACAAGAGAUCCAUAUGUUAGGAUUGGGAUAUGUCCUUAUCGUUCUAGUGUCAUGUUAGGAUGUUGUUUAACAUAUAUUUUGCGCACUGUAUCAAUAUUAUAUACUGUAAUUUGUAAUUUUCCUUUAUCAAUACACCUCAUGCCUUUAUUAGAGGCAGCUGCAUACUUGCAACCCUUAGGACUCAGUAAGAUGUAAAAUCAAGUAAAAAAAAAAAGAUGAAAACCACAUUUCUAAAUUACAUGUUCUUUUAAUACUAACACCUUUACACAGUUUCUGAUGUGUUUAAACUUGUAAACAUUUUCACUCUCAUAUAUACAAGCUGCAACAAUCUUGAAAGUAAACAUCUAUCUAAACUAGAAAAGAACUUGUUACCCUUGAGUUUUGUUUUGUAGAACUUUAGCACUGAACGUAAAGCGUCCACCAAUCUGACCAAUCUAAAUAAUGUUUGAUUCUGAGGUUAGAGCAGAACAUGCACAAAAAUGAAAUCCAGAACAAGAAAGUUGAAAAGGGGGAUCGACGAACAAUGCUCUGAGUCUGAGGGGAGGGCUUGCUGGGGUUUUGGAUGUGAGAAUGCCGAGUGGGGAGGGGGAGCAGGAGGAAUGUAUAGGAGGUUACUGACCAUCCGAGGGCGGGGAAGGCGAGUGGGAGGAGGAGCGCCUGGAAUCCAAGGCCGGCGUUGAGAGAGUGGAAUGCAGCGUAGCUGGCGUUGCCGCUGCGGCUCUCGGUGAUGGGGAGCCAGGCGUCCUGCGGGUUGAGGCGCGUGAGGUGGCCCACCUCCUCCAGGUAGCCGCGCAGGCCCUCCACCACCCGGCGCACCGGCGUCCCGGCGCCGCUCGUCGCCGCCCCUCCCCUCCUGACUGGCGGCGUGGACAUCCCCUCCGGCGUGGACAGCCCCCGUGGCGUCACGGGGAUCGACACCAGCUCCGGCUCCCCCGCCCCCUCCGCCAUUGCCGCCAUCCUUCCCUUGGACGACUUGGAGUGGGUUCUUCUUCUUGUUCUUGGAGCGCGGCGCGCUGUGUGUGUGAGUGUGAGCGAGGAGGAGUGAUUUUCUUGGAGGUGGUGGGGAAGGGUAGAAAAGAAAAGGUGGUGGUGGUGGAGUGGGGGACAGACGGGGAGGGGGCGUGUGUCGGAGAAGGCCCCGUCCUUUCUCUGUCGGGCGAGGAGAGAGAAGCUCAAGCAUGGGACGGACGGAUAACACUUCCGUAGAGAGAGGGAGAGUUGCAUGCAGACUUGCAGUACUACGACUACCAUGGCGUGGUGCAGUGCAAUGCCGUGUGUGGAGGAGAAAAAUCGACGAGCCGCACGAGCUUCCGUACCGCUACACUGUAGAUGGCGUGUGAAGCUCGACUGUUCAGACGUGGUGGAGGAGUCGUCGAGUGCAGAGCUUUGCUAGGAUCGUGCUCGUGCCUUGUGGGGGAAGGAGAUCCGAGCGUCAGAGUGUGAAAUGGAUGCGACGCACAUGGGUGCUUCACAAAAUGACGCGCAAGGAUGGGCGGCACUUGAAUACCAAGACAUUGUUUUUUCAAUGGUGAAUACAAGACCUAGAUGACCAUUUUAAGCCCAUAAAUGAAUAUAAAAUAUAAUUUCCCUCCAAGAUACUAGUUUCUUUUGACAGCAGGAAGAGGGGUUUCCCUUAAAACAAAACAAAACAAAAAAC